rnacentral:rRNA from 1 species
UUUUAUUGAAGCUUCGGCUGAUUUAAGAGAUGGAAAGCGGCGAAAGGGAGAGUAACGCGUGGAUAUCUGCCCCCGGGUCCGGGAUAGCUGCGGGAAACUGCAGGUAAUACCGGAUAAUGUUUCCGAACCAAAGGUGUGAUUCCGCCUGGGGAUGAAUCCGCGUCCUAUUAGCUUGUUGGUGGGGUAAUGGCCUACCAAGGCGAUGAUGGGUACCGGGUGUGAGAGCAUGGCCCGGCUCACUGGGACUGAGACACUGCCCAGACACCUACGGGUGGCUGCAGUCGAGAAUCUUCGGCAAUGGACGCAAGUCUGACCGAGCGAUGCCGCGUGCGGGAUGAAGGCCCUCGGGUUGUAAACCGCUGUCAGAGGGGAUGAAAUGCAUGGGGGUUAUCCCCUGUGUUUGACAUAUCCUCAGAGGAAGUACGGGCUAAGUUCGUGCCAGCAGCCGCGGUAAGACGAACCGUACAAACGUUAUUCGGAAUCACUGGGUUUAAAGGGUGCGCAGGCGGCCUGACAAGUUGGGUGUGAAAUCCCUCGGCUCAACCGAGGAACUGCGCCCAAAACUGUCAGGCUAGAGGGAGAUAGAGGUGAGCGGAACUUAUGGUGGAGCGGUGAAAUGCGUUGAUAUCAUAAGGAACACCAGUAGCGAAGGCGGCUCACUGGAUCUCUUCUGACGCUCAGGCACGAAAGCUAGG